rnacentral:snoRNA from 1 species
UCGGCCUCUUCGAAGAUUGAUGAACUUGGUGUAAUAGCCAGAUAGUUUGUUGAUUCAAAGCGAGGCCCAUAAAAAAGAUCUCAUCCGACAAUACGUUGUUGGAUGAUUCGUUGAGUAUAAUUUCAAGAUAAUAAAUGAACGAAAGCAAUAAAGUAGGAUCGUAAAGUUUUCUAUUUUUAUAUGACUCAAUGAUACAUAU